rnacentral:tRNA from 1 species
GUUUUGGUGACCGAGUAAAAGGUGAGAGAUUUUUAAUCUUUUUACAGGGCUAUCCCUCCAAGAUA